rnacentral:rRNA from 1 species
CACCUGUUCCCAUACCGAACACAGAAGUUAAGCUCAAUAGCGCCGAAAGUAGUUGGAGGAUCGCUUCCUGCGAGGAUAGGACGUCGCGAUGC